AUUUGAUAGAUGCAUGUAAAGUGUUUGGAAAAAUCUAAAUCAAUUGGACAAUUCAUUCAACCAAAUGUACGUAUCAACUAAGUUAAUGGAGGAUAGUGAAGCAUGAAAGACAUAAAUUAAAAGCUGUUCAAUAAAAACAAAUUAACAUUUCAAUACGAAGUCUUUUCUUGUACGUAGUGUAGAAAACUCAACAUAUAUGCAUCGAAAUAAAGACUAAAUUCAUAUUUCAUUUUCCCAAUUCCCAAGCACAUAAAACCAACCGACAAUUACAAGUUCGUAGAAAAAGAGUGUUCAAAAAUUGGAAAGAAAUCAAAAUUAUUAAUUGACUAUGAAACCAAUAAUUGUAUUCCUCAUAUGAUCAUCGACUUUUGCAUAUGGGAUAGAGUUAGCCAAACAUUUUCAUCUCUAAACAAAAGUCGAACUAGAACACUACUAAAAUAACCAAUUGAUAGCAACUCCAUGGCCAUAAAGGUCGUAGAGGUUAUAUAUAUAUAUAUAUACAGCUAUUAGCUAGCGCAUCAAUCAUGGCAAUCUGAAUCCUGGGCCAUAUUCAUCCCCUUAAUAUGGUGUAACAUAUAUGCAUGGCUGUGCUCAUAAUGUCGUAUGGAACAGUGAGUUCAAACUGCUAUAAAUAGUAAGUUUGGAGCUUGAAAUGAUACCAAUAUAAAGCAUAUAUAAAACUAAGUCACGUGAGUUGUAUUGGAAUUUGAAUCCAAUCCAAAGAACUUAGACAGCGUACGGCCAAUUUGAUUGUUGAGAAAAACUGAAAGCAAAGUGUUUUAACUCUGAAAAUUUCCUUAUAUAACAAAACAAUGAAGAGGGAUUUCAAAACAUGCACGCAUUGCAAUAAUUUAGAGAUGGAUAUUGCUUCUGGAUGAAGGUGUUAGAUUGGUGGAAAGCUUUGGAAGAUAAUUAAUUAUUAAUUAGUAAUCUUAUGCAUAUAGCUAGCUAACUAUCUACUUAUAUACAGAUAUAUGUGGGCAACUAGAUCAAAACUCUUUAUAUAUACAUAUAUAUAUAGAUAUUUUGUAACCCUUAAUAAUUAAUAAGGGGUUCUGAGAUUUUGAUUAUUCCUUCUAAUAUGUUUAUGGAAUAUAUGAUAUAUAAUAUAUAAUAUAUACAGUAAUUAAUAAACCUGGUGAGGUAGAGGACGAAUGAUAUACAAAGCAUAUAUAAAGAAGAAUAAAUAUUGAAUGUUUGACGAUUUUUUAGUAUGGUAUGCGUAAUUGAGUCCCCCAUGCAAAAAAAAAAGAAAAGGGCAAAGCAAGGGGAAUAAAAUCUACCACAGAAUCUUGGUCCAGUAUUAUUAUUAAUAAUUGAUACCAAACCCAAUAUAUAAGUUGAUUCGACUGUCUAUAGUCUGAUAUAGAGAGGUUGUUUUUUGGAAUUAAUGUUAGAGAAUGCAAGUGGCAUAUUAAUACCUUCGAUUGCGAUAGGUGUCCCGUGUCAAUUUCGUAGCAUAUAAGACUCUGCUCUACGGAAUCUCGAACUACUUUAAUUCCACAUUUAAUUAGGUCUACCAAACUAUAUGCUACAAUUCAUAUAUGGUCUAUUAAUGCUACAAGCAGCACUCUUUUUCUGCUACAUUUAUUUGCAAACUUGCCAAACCCAUCAAAGGCGUAUCAUCUUCAUAGCAAGCUGUCAAAUAAUGCUUAAAUACAUUCAGCGCAUAAAACAAAUAAGGUGGCUCAUGAAUUGGCUAGGCUUGCCCUCAAUUGUUAUGAUUAAAUAUUUUUGCUUGGAGGAGGGCCAUGGCUCCUCCUGUAUCUUCGGAUAGAUGUUUCUCUCUUUUAUGAAUCGAAACUCAAUGAUUGAUGAAGGUUUAGAUGUUUACUUUUGAAAA